GUCCACGCUGUAAACGUUGGGAACUAGGUGUGGGGCCUGUCAUGGGUUCUGCGCCGGCGCUAACGCAUUAAGUUCCCCGCCUGGGGAGUACGGCCGCAAGGCUAAAACUCAAAGGAAUUGACGGGGGCCCGCACAAGCGGCGGAGCAUGCGGAUUAAUUCGAGGCAACGCGAAGAACCUUACCAAGGCUUGACAUACACCGGAAGCCGCCAGAGAUGGUGGUCUCUUUGAUACUGGUGUACAGGUGGUGCAUGGUUGUCGU
rnacentral:rRNA from 1 species